GUUUAUGUAGCUUAACAUAAAGCAAAGCACUGAAAAUGCUUAGAUGGAUUCCAACCAAUCCCACAAACA
rnacentral:tRNA from 1 species